rnacentral:rRNA from 1 species
GACGAACGCUGGCGGCGUGCUUAACACAUGCAAGUCGAACGGAAAGGCCUCUUUCGGGGGGUACUCGAGUGGCGAACGGGUGAGUAACACGUGAGUAACCUGCCCUUGACUUUGGGAUAACUUCAGGAAACUGGGGCUAAUACCGGAUAGGAGCUCCUGCUGCAUGGUGGGGGUUGGAAAGUUUCGGCGGUUGGCGAUGGACUCGCGGCUUAUCAGCUUGUUGGUGGGGUAGUGGCUUACCAAGGCUUUGACGGGUAGCCGGCCUGAGAGGGUGACCGGCCACAUUGGGACUGAGAUACGGCCCAGACUCCUACGGGAGGCAGCAGUGGGGAAUAUUGCACAAUGGGUGGCAGCCGGAUGCAGCAACGCCGUGUGCGGGAUGACGGCCUUCGGGUUGUAAACCGCUUUCGCUCAUGACGAAGCUUUGUGUGACGGUAGUGGGUAAAGAAGCACCGGCUAACUACGUG